rnacentral:rRNA from 1 species
GACGUAGGGCGCGAGCGUUUGUCCGGAUUUAUUGGGCGUAAAGAGCUCGUAGGCGGCUUGUCGCGUCGUUCGUGAAAACCCGGGGCUCAACUCCGGGCUUGCGGGCGAUACGGGCAGGCUAGAGUUCGGUAGGGGAGACUGGAAUUCCUGGUGUAGCGGUGAAAUGCGCAGAUAUCAGGAGGAACACCGGUGGCGAAGGCGGGUCUCUGGGCCGUAACUGACGCUGAGGAGCGAAAGCAUGGGGAGCGAACGGG